UAUGAAUUGUAAAAUUAGUGAUCUUAGUAUUAAUAGUUUAGAUCUUUAAAUUAAAAGAAUUUGGCGGUAAUUUAGUCUUUUCAGAGGAACCUGCCCUGUAAUUGAUAGUCCACGAUAAAUUUUACUUUAUCUUUGUUUGUAUACCUCUGUCAUUGAAUGUUUUAUUAGGAUGGAUUUUCUUUAAUUUUUAUGAAGUUUUAAUGUCAGGUCAAGGUGCAGCUGUGAUAAAGAAGAGGUGGGUUACAUUGAAUUUAUUUAUGGAGAUAAAUAUGUAAAUUUUAUUGAAAUAGGAUUUGAAAGUAAGUUUUAUUAGAAUAUAGAAUUGAUUUUAGCUCUAAAUUAUG
rnacentral:rRNA from 1 species